rnacentral:rRNA from 1 species
CGUCUAUAUACGUAUAGCAUAUCAAUAAGCGGAGGAAAAGAAACUAACUAGGAUUCCCUCAGUAACGGCGAGUGAAGCGGGUAGAGCUCAAAUUUGAAAUCUUCAAGGUUCUACCUUGACGAAUUGUAGUUUAAAGAAGUGUUUUCUGUUGGAGUUUUGGUAAAAGUUCUUUGGAAUAGGACAUCAUAGAGGGUGAGAAUCCCGUAUUUGACCAUUAUUUCCAACUUUGUGAUACACUUUCAAAGAGUCGGAUUGUUUGGGAAUGCAGUCAAAAAUGGGUGGUAAAUUUCAUCUAAAGCUAAAUACUGGCGAGAGACCGAUAGCGAACAAGUACCGUGAGGGAAAGAUGAAAAGAACUUUGACAAGAGAGUUAAACAGUACGUGAAAUUGUCAAAAGGGAAGCGUUUGACACCAGUGUUGUUUUCUCGAAAAUCAAUUAAAAAUGGCUGGGAUUUUGUGUUGUAUUGACUUUAUCAGCUUUCUGCACUUUUUUUCCUAUCUUUUUUAAUGCACUUUUCGUUUAAUAAGUCAACAUCAAUUUCUUUUGUUGUAAAAGGGUCAUUGGAAGGUGGCUUCUCUUUCGGAGAAAGUGUUUAUAGCCUUUGACUUCUGCAAUCGGAGAGAUUGAGGUCUGCAGCGUAGAUCCUUCGGGGUUAGAUACAUUUGUGCUAAGUUAUAGCCUUUCAUAGACAACUUGUUGACUAUGAUCAGUCAUGUAGCUUACUCGCUUAUGUCAUUUUACCUACGCUUAGGAUGUUGAUCUGUAGUGCGUGCGC